rnacentral:rRNA from 1 species
GACGAACGCUGGCGGCGUGCUUAACACAUGCAAGUCGAACGGUAAGGCCCUUCGGGGUACACGAGUGGCGAACGGGUGAGUAACACGUGGGUGAUCUGCCCUGCACUUCGGGAUAAGCCUGGGAAACUGGGUCUAAUACCGGAUAGGACCACUGUCUGAAUGGGUGGUGGUGGAAAGCUUUUGCGGUGUGGGAUGGGCCCGCGGCCUAUCAGCUUGUUGGUGGGGGGAUGGCCUACCAAGGCGACGACGGGUAGCCGGCCUGAGAGGGUGACCGGCCACACUGGGACUGAGAUACGGCCCAGACUCCUACGGGAGGCAGCAGUGGGGAAUAUUGCACAAUGGGCGCAAGCCUGAUGCAGCGACGCCGCGUGAGGGAUGACGGCCUUCGGGUUGUAAACCUCUUUCAGCACCGACGAAGCGCAAGUGACGGUAGGUGCAGAAGAAGGACCGGCCAACUACGUGCCAGCCGCCGCGGUAA